CCACCGGUCGAAUAGGAUGGCAUUGAAUCAAGCCAACCGCCAGCCAGCCAGGCAAGUCAACAGGCGCAAGGGUGAGAUGGGUUGCGGAGAAAAGGUAGACAAGAUAGUCAGUCACAGCAGCGCAGCAAAAGCAGCAUCCAUCUCACCACUGGGGUCCAUUCAGCCGGCAGCGCUGCAAACAAACAGCAGCCUUACCAAAUCUCGCACAUCACAUUAAAACCAACGCAAUUGCCCAAAGUCUUCCUUAACACACAGACUUGGCCUUCUAUAACCACCGCACCACCGUAUGGGUGCUACUGCUGCAGCCUCACGUGAACAAGUUCAGCUAUUGCACACACUCAUAUAUAUUGAUGAGCACACUCUCAGCGUCAACUUGUGCAUGCCUGUGCUGCCCGACGACGACGACGACGCCGACGACAACGACUAUGACUAUGACGCUCGUCAUCCGAUCGGGGAGUCAUUGCAGGUUACCAGCAGCGUCGUGUUGUGUCGUGUGCGAUGCCUACACCUUAGUUAUGUUUGUGCAUACAUAUGUACAUGCCAACAACAGGAAUAGUUCAAAGUCUCCACCGCUGGUAAUCCAUUCAAGUGCAACAACAACACCACACAUCUUCUCCAACCAUCCGACUCCUUCAAUUUUGCAUAUUGUUUUUUUUUCUACAUCAGCAUCUUAAACAUCCACCAAUGCCAUGUUGUGCGCGCGGUUUACGCUCACGCGCGCUCUUUUGUUGGCUCCCUGCGCUUUUGGCACAUUUUUGUUUGGAUAUUUUUUCGUAGCCUGAAACAGUUGUAGUCUCCAACCUGCAACGAAAUGACGACGACUCCCUUACCACCUGUACUUCAAUACAUCGUACUAUAGCCGAACUGUAGCUAUCCUCCGCUUCCUUGGCCCUUCACAACUCCUGUUAUCACGAUUAUCACGAUUUGUUGGUUGCGCCAACAGCAUCACUAUCGUGGUCAUAAUUAUCGUCACCUUCAUUAGCGUUUUCAUCAUUGUCAGCAAAAUCAUCAUCAUCAUCAGCAACAUAUUCUUUUCAAAAUGUUUAGCUUCAUGAACCUUCGUUUUGUUGCUUGGAGAGCGUUUAAGUUGCCUUCGCAGCAGCUGUGCUGCAGACAGGCGGUCGGUCGGUCAGUCAUUCGAGUUGAGAGCGGUUAAUGCAGUCAACCUUUGUUAAUAAGUUAUGUACGUCGUCAUUUGGAGAAUCGUUAAGGCGAAAAAAGCAUCAAGGGGUUAGCAAAAGACUCGAGUAAAACCACUGUGUGGUAUACGUAAUAUUUGCCGCUACGUUUUGGAGGUGAAUGCACGCAGCACAAAAAGAUGCACUCUAACCAAACAAAAAGCUGCAGGGAAUGUGUACAAUAGCACGCUGGUAGAAAAUACGAGAAAAGGAAAGCGAGCUCUCAAUGAAAGGAAUAAAUGCAAAUAACUUUUAGGAGUCGCAAGCAAAUUAAAAGGCAAAAAAACCCAAAUUAAGAUUACAAAUUACAAUUUAUGCAUCUGAUGCAGGACACAAAAAAAAACUGACGGGCGGCAUUAGAUGGCUAUAGUUUAAUUGCAUUGUUGAAGAAAGGCCUAUUGGAAAAAGGUGAGACCGUCCACGAAGCUAAGACCAAGACCAUUGUACAUCGCCAUAAAACGCCUACCGGUAAUAACACCAGAGCAAAAACAACCAACUGCGUGUAUUUUGUUGUUCAUUUGUACUCUAAAACAUCAAAAAAGGUUUCAAAAUUUGAAUUUUCUCUAGGUAUCCAAACCUUUACAAUUUUUAUAACACAAAAAUCGGUCACUAAAAAAAUAAAGUCCCAAAAAGUUCGAAAAGUAAAAAGAAUCCUAAAUUGUUGUCCAGGAGGUGCUGGGAUCAAAGCAACAUGGUUAACUUUAUUCUACAAUAUUUUGCGCCGGGACUUUUAUAACAUCGAAAAAAAUAACUGUUAUUUUCGGCCCCUACUUUUUACAGACUAAUUUUGCUCAACUUUGCUUUGUUCAUCGGCACUUUUUUUGGGGAAAGUUUGGGUGCCCAAUGCCCGCUCCAACUUAGCCAACCACCCUGACGGUUGAAAAAAAUUAGUUAUAAAUUUUUUUUUGUUGACAGGGAUAUGA